GUAUGAUAUGAUUAUAUUUUGGUGGGGACAAAUCCUAUAUAAACUUUUUAAAGAUAGCUAGAAAAUGUUAGAGUAAUUGCACUUGAUAUACAAAAAAGAAAGAUUAUUUAGGUCUUCGGAUGUGCACUGUUCACUUUUUAAAUAUUCCAGCAAUGUCCCUGUGACAUCCUUUCUAAAGCUUCUUCGCCUCUUUACAGCUCCUCCGUGACAGUUUACUGAAAUUACUUCUCCGGUGCUCCGUCGUUUCGCUGAAAUUACUCUUCUUCCUUUCGAAGUUGCUUUUCCUCCCUUCAAAAUUACUCUUUCGAUGCUCUGUUAUUGUUGCAUCGAAAACGCCAUUGACGCUCGAGCUUCUCGCGGCGGAGAAGGAGCUCCUCACGCCGGAGUAAGAGACACGUCCUCUUCCGACCCAAUAAAGUACAUGUUUCCUCCUCGGAAGCUACAAAGCGAUCUCGGUCUCCAAGCACUCUGUUUCUUAUAAUCCAAAACGUUAGAAUCGUCGGAUUAAUCUUCCUGAAGAACCUCCCGAGUCUCGAGAAUCUAUGAUGCUUCGUCUUGUUGAUCUCAACGCAGCUGCUACUACUCCUCUUGAAGACCACAACCUCCUCGGUUCUCGUCACUUCCUCUGUUCUAGUUGUCUUCCUAUGUUUCGUCCCUGGCGUCUACGGCGUCGUUCAAGAUUGAUUGAAAGAAAGCGUUUGCGGUCAGAUUCUGAUGACUCCACGGUAGAAACGGUGCAGAGGACAAUACUAUGGUGGGUCUCAACUAAAAGAAGUCAAAGCCCACUCAGCUUUCCAAUUUUCUAUGGCUAAACUCGAAGAGGAGAUCUGCAACAUUCUUGUAUCCCAAACAUUUGUUUCAAACCUGAUUUUUGAAGAAUCAUCAGUCUCUUCCCCCUCCUCAUGCGCUGAAACUAGAGAAGAUAGCACCGACGAUGGUGAUGUUACAGAAGAAGAUGAUGUUACUGCAAAAGAUGGUUAUGGUUAAGCCGCGUAGAAGAAUUACAGAUCCACAAACAGAGAGACCAAACCGUAAUUCCUACCUUCUUUCCUUUUCUUUCCCGACAGAUUGUGCAAAUUUAGUAAAGUAUUGUAUUCUUACCUAAUUAAUUUAAUUUCUACUUAUAUACAGCUAAA